UAUUAGAGUCACAGAGAGAACUCUCUCUCGAAAACAAACCCUAAUACCGUCACCGUUACCCUAUCUCCCACCGACGAAACUCUCUGUCGACACCUUGAAGCCCGAUUUCGUGCUCUGUAACUCAAACUCAGUUGAAAAGAGGAGGAUGACCUGAAGUUGUGAACGGAUCCAAGCUCAGUUGAAUCAGACGAGGAAAAAACCCGACUCUCCACCAUCCGCGAACACAGUUCCGGCGGAGUAAGACUGAGGAAUAGGACGACGGCGGUGAAGAUAUAGAUUGUGGUUGAGUAUGUUCCAGAGCAGCCCGAGUUUGAAGAUGGUUUUAACGUUGAGUUCAAGCAAAUCUUUGAGAAGGUUAACUUCAGGGAACCUGUCUGAUUAUCUCCGUCUAAGAGACAGUUUUAGUAUCGUGGUUGAAGUUUAUAAGUUAAAUGAAGAAGUUUUACGGUUGGAGCAGAUGGUAUCUUAAUGGAGGCUUGUCAGAAUUUGAAUAUACUCCUUCUCUUUCUGCUUGCGAGGUUUUGAGAUGCAUCGCUUUGUGUUAAGAGAAGAUCUACACAUCAGAUCCAGACUCUCUGAUUCAUCAUCUGCAAUGGCUCUUGGGUUACUUCAGAUCCUGGUUAUCAAGAAGAAUAUUCAUGAUCGUUCUAUCAUUUUACCCGUGGUGUACAUGAUACUGCUCAUUGGACACCAAACUCUGGAGACAAGACCCUUCAAUACGAUGAAGAGAAAAUGCAGAAACGGUUGGAAUCAUGUUCCUCUAGCACAAGCGCAGUGACUGGUGAAAUGGCUUUACAUUUGGUAAAUGGCACAGACUUAUGUGAUUUGUAUUUCAGAAUCCCGAUCAGAUGCUUCUUGGUCCCAAUGACUGUGUGGAAAAUGGUACCCCUUCUAAAGAUUUUAGUCGGUGUACUGAAUCCAAACCAGCGGAAUUGUCUGUGUAAAAACCUUAAGAAUUUUUGUAUUUCUGAAUCCUAAUCAUCAGGUUUAUCUUUCUUCCUCUCAUCUAUUUUGGUUUUAUGUUAAAAAAGGAUCAUAUACUUUAUGAACAUAAGCAAAAUUUGUUUUUGUCCCCACUGCUAAGACAGAUCAGUUAACCAGAGUCUGGUUAUCCUUUCCUCUCUGCCUUGCAUAACGGGAGCCUAAUUCCAGCUAUCUUGCAGCGUUCUGACCUUUAUUGGAUUCACGGCUCUAGCUAUAGAAGAUUUGUCUAAUUCGAUAUGAAUGUGUUGUUCGUGUGUAUUUAGCUCUUUAGUUCUUGCUGAUUCCAGUUGCAGGUAGGUAUGAAGUGAAUGUGGGUGAUUCAUUAUUAAUUCAAAAGCUCAGACAGGUGAACCCUUUUGAUUGUUUUUUACAGCUUCUUGGAUUACAACUUGGGAUAUUAUUAAAGUGCAUCCACUACGCUUUCUCUGAGAGAUACAUGCUAAGGCCAAUAAGGAAAAUAGGAGCUCAAGGUUUUGAUUUAGUUCCCAUGUUUUCUUGUCUUUUUUAUAUUUAGUUCUGAUAUUGUAACGAUGUUUGUGUAAGAUUUGAUGAAAAUGUUUACAUGUUUGUGGUGCUGAUAUAAAAGUACAUUUUGGUU